rnacentral:rRNA from 1 species
UACGAAGGGUGCAAGCGUUACUCGGAAUUACUGGGCGUAAAGCGUGCGCAGGCGGUUUUGUAAGCCGGAUGUGAAAUCCCCGGGCUUAACCUGGGAAUGGCAUUCGGGACUGCAAGGCUGGAGUGCGGCAGAGGAGACUGGAAUUCCCGGUGUAGCAGUGAAAUGCGUAGAGAUCGGGAGGAACAUCAGUUGCGAAGGCGGCUCUCUGGACCAGCACUGACACUGAGGCACGAAAGCGUGGGGAGCAAACAGG